GACAGAGGGUGCAAACGUUGCUCGGAAUCACUGGGCGUAAAGGGCGUGUAGGCGGGAAGGAAAGUCAGAUGUGAAAUCCCUGGGCUCAACCCAGGAACUGCAUUUGAAACUCCCUUUCUUGAGUGUCGGAGAGGAAAGUGGAAUUCCUGGUGUAGAGGUGAAAUUCGUAGAUAUCAGGAGGAACACCGGUGGCGAAGGCGGUUCUCUGGGCCUGUACUGACGCUGAGGAACGAAAGCGUGGGGAGCGAACAGG
rnacentral:rRNA from 1 species